GCGAACGCUGGCGGCCGGCUUAACACCUGCCAGUCGAGCGGGCAUCCUUGUGGUGUCAGCGGCAGACGGGUGAGUAACGCGUGGGAACGUGCCCUUCGGUUCGGAAUAACUCAGGGAAACUUGAGCUAAUACCGGAUACGUGCGAGAGCAGAAAGGUUUAUCUGCCGAAGGAUCGGCCCGCGUCUGAUUAGCUAGUUGGUGAGGUUAUGGCUCACCAAGGCGACGAUCAGUAGCUGGUCUGAGAGGAUGAUCAGCCACACUGGGACUGAGACACGGCCCAGACUCCUACGGGAGGCAGCAGUGGGGAAUAUUGGACAAUGGGGGCAACCCUGAUCCAGCCAUGCCGCGUGAGUGAUGACGGCCUUAGGGUUGUAAAGCUCUUUUCUCCGGGACGAUAAUGACGGUACCGGAGGAAUAAGCCCCGGCUAACUUCGUG
rnacentral:rRNA from 1 species